rnacentral:lncRNA from 1 species
GACCCUGUCCACUCCGUUUCACAGAUGAGGAGCCUGCAGCUGGCAAACACCACUGCAGGAGGAGUGCUGACCUCCAGGCUGUGCAGAGCAUCGUCCGUGAGACCCGUGAGGGUGUUCGUACUAAUUGGGCAGCAACACCAUGGACCAUGCUACGGACCAGUCUCCUCUAGGCCCGGCCCAGGGACGGGACGGAAGAGAUGCCAGAGCUCUGCACCGCUGCAAGACCCAGUUCCCUGGUUUGCUCAUAGCCGCAGCCCUACCAUUGCUUCCCUGGGAACUGGCCGGCUGUUCCCAUCUCCCCUUUAUCCCCAGGCAGCCAAGGAGGCCCAGGACCCAAGUCCUCCCUCAUCCCCACUACGGUCUUCCCCAGCUCUGAGGCAUGAGGAUCCCCCACUCUCCCUGACCCCCACUCUCCUUUGACCCCUCCCACUCCCCGAACCCAAGUGCCCUUCCCAUCCGCCAUCCCCUCCCUGCCUGCCUUGUCCCACAACCCAGCCACCCCUGCACAUACUCAGUUUCUCACUCAUUUACUUGUUUGAGUUCUAGAACACAUGCUCUGGGCAGUGAGAGCUUUUGUCUGCAGUGGCUCUGAAGAGGGGGAAGCCCCAUGGCUGCCCAUCAGGGAAGCAGCUCAGGGCAGCAGGCACCUGUGUGGGGGUGGCAGAGGGUGCAGUCCACUUGGUCUUGGCCAGUCCUUGGUGACCAGGGACAGAGAAUGGUGAGGGGCACUAAGACCAGGGCUCUCCAGGGCCUCCUAUGGCUGUGGGAGAGGCCUAGCAGGGCUCCUGCUUGGAGGUGAUAAUGAGGCAUCAGAGCCAUGGAGGUGAGACCAGUCCCUCCUCCGGUUGCAUCCUGUGUUCCCUGCAGCUUUGUGCCUGUACUUGGUGGGGUAAUUGUCCCGAAAACCAG